rnacentral:lncRNA from 1 species
CCAGCUUUCUUAUAUCGCAUUAAUUUCCCUUAAUCAGGCUGAUCACUGUUUCCUAUUGUGGACGCUUCAAUAUAGAAUGUUAUCAUGUACAAUUCUAUAUAUCUGUACAAGGGAGCCAUAGAAAGGUCAUAAUAAUAUAGAUUAAUUCUCCUUUCGUGGAUGUAGGCCCAAUCGGCCGAACCACGUAAAUUCUUGUGUACUCAUUUUCUGUCUCAUACUCUUAACAUGGUCUCAGAGCAGAAAUCUUAAGACCUAAGAAAAUCACUACAGUCGAUAUACUCCGGUUUUUCAAGGAUCGAUCUUCUAUAGGCUCAAAAGAUGGGCUCAACGGAUUCUUUGAUUUCAUUCUUCGUCGAAAACUAGCAAAUUCCAUCGAUCUUUUACAAACCAACAAGUUACCGUCAAGCUGUUGCACUCUCUUUUUGCAAAUCUAUUACAAGCUUCUUGCGUAGUAGUUGCCUAGUUGGCUUUCUAAAGGAAUUUGGAUCCUUGAUUUCGUGGCAUUCUUCAUGAAGGCGAAAGGAUUCGGUUUGUGAUUGAUGGCCUCUUUGC